rnacentral:rRNA from 1 species
UACGGAGGGGGCUAGCGUUAAUCGGAUUUACUGGGCGUAAAGCGUACGUAGUCGGCUUGUCAAGUCGGGUGUGAAAUCCCCGGGCUCAACCUGGGAACUGCAUCCGAAACUGACUUGCUAGAGUAUGGGAGAGGGAGGCGGAAUUUCUGGUGUAGCAGUGAAAUGCGUAGAUAUCAGAAGGAACAUCAGUGGCGAAGGCGGCCUCCUGGACCAAUACUGACGAUCAGGUACGAAAGCGUGGGGAGCAAACAGG